CCUACGGGUGGCUGCAGUGGGGAAUUUUCCACAAUGGGCGAAAGCCUGAUGGAGCAACGCCGCGUGUGUGAUGAAGGUCUUCGGAUCGUAAAGCACUUUCGACCGGGACGAAAAACCUCUGGCUAACAUCCAGGGGCCUGACGGUACCGGGAGAAGAAGCACCGGCUAACUCUGUGCCAGCAGCCGCGGUAAUACAGAGGGUGCAAGCGUUGGUCGGAAUUAUUUGGCGUAAAGCGGGCGAAUCCGGCGUGAAAGCCCAUGGCGUAACCAUGGAAGUGCGUCUGAAACUGCCGAGCUUGAGUGCCGGAGAGGAUGGCGGAAUUCCGCAAGUAGAGGUGAAAUUCGUAGAUAUGCGGAGGAACACCGGUGGCGAAGGCGGCCAUCUGGACGGUAACUGACGCUGAGACGCGAAAGCGUGGGGAGCAAACAGGAUUAGAUACCCUGGUAGUC
rnacentral:rRNA from 1 species